UAAAUUUCCUAAUGACGUAUACAUAAAUAUUUUUAUAAUAAAAAGUUGUUUAGUCACACCGGUGGAUUUUUUUCAUACCCAAAAUCGGGGUAGCUUUGGAAUACAAAAACAUUUUUUUUUUUAAUUUUGAUUUAUUCAAUAAUAAAUAUUUAUACUAUGAAUUAUGGGCUAGAAGUAUGAGGUUUAUUGAAAUAAGUAGUAAUAUUUAAUGUGUUCCUAAAGCAAUUGCAUUGAGACUUUUAAGUUUAAAUAUUAAACAUUAUUUUAUCUUGAGAAUCAUGUCAUUGUAUUUCAAUAAUGUGAUGGUUACUCUUAUGCCUAUUGGUUAUUUGUAUAUGUUUCUUCUUUUAAGUUUAAAUCAAUAUAAAAAGGGCAUUAUUUUCAAUUGAGACACAAGGGAACAACCAACAAUAAUCUGAACACAAAGAGGACGUUAUGAUGGUCAGUAUAUGAUUCUUAAACUGAAUAUCCUUGUCGCAAACAGAUCCGGUCUUUGUUCACAAGAGCAUGUAUAUAGGGUGUUCAGAUUUUGUACUUCAAAACAACAAGCAUUUUUAAAUUUUAUAAUUGGAAGUAUGAUAUAUAAAGGUAUUCAUAUUAUUUAAUAAAUAGGGGAAAAAUGCUCCCCUAAAAUCCAAAGUAAUUAUUUAUUCGGUUUAAGAAUCCCAAUGGGUGAAAAAAUAAAAAGGAGAUAAAACGCUUUUCGAAUUAUUUAAUCUAAAAAUAUCAAUGACAUUUUUGGAAUAUAGAAGGGCGUGUGAGAAAAAAAGGAGAGUGGAAAAAAAUAGGCAUACAUUAAUUAAUAAAUACAUUUUAAUUUUAUGUCAUUUAAGUUACCAGACUAGGAUUUAUGUAAGGAAAAAUUAUGGGCUUUUGGAGCCCAACUUCUCAUUGAUGUCUAACUUUUUCUUUUUUUUGGUUGCAAGUGUAAAAACCUGAAACCCCAUAAACAAACAACGCAGGUAUUCAUAAAUCGCCACAAUGGUCAUGUUUUUUUUUUUUUUAUAUACACGUCAAAGACCUUUUAACAUCUUAAUGCCCUUGCAUAGAUCACAAACUUUCGUUACCAAGCUUGACCACAAUGGUAAUGUUGAAAGGGAAAAAACUAGUAAAUAUGUGUUUCAAACUACGUUUUCACCUUAAAAACACAGAAGCUACAAAAUUAAGCUUCUGCAUUACCAUGGUUUUCGCAAACAUGCCACGAAACAAAACCUACGCAACUAUGCUAAAUAAAAUGUGAUUUUUUACAAAAUUAAUUAUAGUUAGAUGUAGAAGUUAGGAGAGGUUGCUUCAAGAGGAAUUAAUCGAUUUGAAUUAAUUUGAUUACUUUCUAAAAUGAGACUCGAACAUACUUGCAACUCAUUAGAAUCAUGCUUGAUCACUUAAACGCGUGUGUACUUAUCGUGGAAUCAAACAUACACUUAAUCCUACUUGUAGACAAUCAAUCUCCAAUCCAACAACCCCAUGAAGCACCUUGAAUACUCUCAGAAGUAGUAGAGGAUGGAAAAUAGGCUGUGACAUAGAUUUGAUGUAUUUAGGAAAGAUAGUAAUGAUUAAAAUAAGAUUGUUCAUAUGACAGAUUGAUGAAUUAGAGAGAUAAAAAUGGUCAUCAAAAGUAGAAAAUUGAAAAACUAUACAAUUUUUUUUGUCAAGUAGCUUAGUGGUUAGAGCUCACACAAUUUAAUUGUGGAGAAGUGGGGUUCCGGGGUUUGAACCUCGACCCCUGCAUAUAAUACUUAAUAUCCCUACCAACUGAGCUAAGCUCACGAAGAUACUAUACAAUUUAUCCUCAAGAGGAUUAAUUCAAAUAUGUCUACCACUAUUAUAUUCCAUUAUUAUACUAAUUGAAAUGUGCUUUCCACAUGAUAUAUUGAUUAUGCUAGGUGGCAAAAUGCCAAGCCAGCAAUUAUUCAAUGUAGGUGUCAUGUCACUUUUGUUGACUGUCACAUUCGAUAUAUAAUUAGUUUCACGCCAUAGAAUUCAAUCACACACUUAAUUUUUUGGUUUUAUGUAACAACCAAACUACUCCAGUUAAAUCCAGAGAUAUUGGCCAUUAAAGUAUAAACAUUAUUGCAUAAAAAAAUACAUAUAUUUGAUGACUCAUUGAAAAAUAGUGAUUUAAGAUUGUAGGUAGAACAACAUCACUACAAAGAUAUGAAUAAUUAUAAAUUGAAGUUGCACUUUCUUUAAUUGAUUGAAGUAUCACCAAAUCCACUACAUGCUUUACAGUGAAAUGAAAUAACAAUGAAACUAAUGCAAAAAUGUAAACUAUCACAUUUUGAGUCCUUUUGUAAAGGCACUACCAAAAUUUCAUUACACAUGAAUGAAGAAAUGAAGCUGUACAAAUAAUGACCUAUUUUGGAAUAUGCAAGAAUUGAAAUCUAAGGAAUGAAAGGAACAAAAGAGAAAAAAAAAUGAACUGUCUUAUUUUGGAAAGAAUGUACCCUACUCUCAAAUGGCAAAUGGCAAUUCACUUCAUCUUCUUUUUUCUUUUUUUAUGAGCAGGAAUCAAAUUCGGUAUCCAAGGAUUUACAACACUCGCACUGUGCACCAAUCACUUGCGCCUGUCCAGUGUUUUGAGAACAGUUUAUUAAAUCGCUGCAG
rnacentral:lncRNA from 1 species